rnacentral:rRNA from 1 species
CGUAGGGGGCAAGCGUUAUCCGGAAUUAUUGGGCGUAAAGAGUGCGUAGGUGGUUUUGUAAGCGCGGGGUGAAAGGCUAUGGCUCAACCAUAGUAAGCCUUGCGAACUGCAAGACUUGAGUGCAGGAGAGGAAAGUGGAAUUCCUAGUGUAGCGGUGAAAUGCGUAGAUAUUAGGAGGAACACCAGUGGCGAAGGCGACUUUCUGGACUGUAACUGACACUGAGGCACGAAAGCGUGGGGAGCAAACAGGAUUAGAUACCCUGGUAGUCCACGCCGUAAACGAUGAGCACUAGGUGUCGGGGUCGCAAGGCUUCGGUGCCGCAGUUAACGCAUUAAGUGCUCCGCCUGGGGAGUACGCACGCAAGUGUG